rnacentral:rRNA from 1 species
GUAACACGUAUCCAACCUGCCGAUGACUCGGGGAUAGCCUUUCGAAAGAAAGAUUAAUACCCGAUGGCAUAGUUCUUCCGCAUGGUAGGACUAUUAAAGAAUUUCGGUCAUCGAUGGGGAUGCGUUCCAUUAGCUUGUUGGCGGGGUAACGGCCCACCAAGGCAUCGAUGGAUAGGGGUUCUGAGAGGAAGGUCCCCCACAUUGGAACUGAGACACGGUCCAAACUCCUACGGGAGGCAGCAGUGAGGAAUAUUGGUCAAUGGGCGCUAGCCUGAACCAGCCAAGUAGCGUGAAGGAUGACUGCCCUAUGGGUUGUAAACUUCUUUUAUAUGGGAAUAAAGUGCAGUAUGUAUACUGCUUUGCAUGUACCUUAUGAAUAAGGAUCGGCUAACUCCGUGCCAGCAGCCGCGGUAAUACGGAGGAUCCGAGCGUUAUCCGGAUUUAUUGGGUUUAAAGGGAGCGUAGGCGGGUUGUUAAGUCAGUUGUGAAAGUUUGCGGCUCAACCGUAAAAUUGCAGUUGAUACUGGCAUCCUUGAGUGCAGUAGAGGUAGGCGGAAUUCGUGGUGUAGCGGUGAAAUGCUUAGAUAUCACGAAGAACUCCGAUUGCGAAGGCAGCCUGCUGGACUGUAACUGACGCUGAUGCUCGAAAGUGUGGGUAUCAAACAGGAUUAGAUACCCUGGUAGU